CGAGGAGGCUGAGCAAAGCCUGUGCACUGCUGCUUAAACUUGUGGACUGGAAAACAUGGAGCUAAAUAGUUCUCAUUUCUUUUUGUAAAACUCACAUGGGAAGAUUGACAUAGUCAUAUUCAAUUUGGAAAUGACUAAAUUUUCUGUAGACACUGCUGGACAAGUCAUCGAGCAAGGAAUUGAUGGGGAGCUGCAGCGGAAUGGAUGUGCAUAGCACAUCCACUGAAUUAUUAUUUUUGAGGAAGAACUUGAGAGGUCAGAUGUCUGUCUACUUCUUUCAUGUCACAAGAUUUCAUUAUAAAGAAUAACUCACUACAAAUCACAUUCUUCUCCAAAAAGCAGAGCUAACUCCAAAUUAUGUUGCAGAAGGAAAACCACCUCUUGUGGCAGUUACAACCCCUGUUCUGUUACUGCAGUGACAGCGGACGGGGUGUGCAGAGCAAGAGGAAGUAUGACUGUGCUUCCUGGAAGCAGAAGCUGUUUGGCCCCAUCUUUGCAUCCUUGUGCCUGGCACACAGAAGAUUUGCAAUCACUGUUGGUCAUCCAGGUGGAGUUAUCAAGGAGGCAGUUCAAAGUAUGGGUGCACGGAGAUCUAAUUUGGAGAUACAAUAGAGAUGGACAUAUACGCAUGAAUACGGGAAAAUGAGAAUAAAACUGAACAGCGGGUUUGAAGGCAUAUCACAUCUUGUGAGGAGUUGGGCAGAUGUUAAAAGUCCUCAUAGAGCAUGCAUGAAUCACCUGACAUAAAAACAAAGACCAAGAUUGAAUUAGUGAAUUGCUCAAGGUGAACGAAGAGAGUCUGGAACUUGUAUAUCCUAACAGCAAAAUGUAGCUACUGUAUAUUUACUUAUUAUAAUUUACCUUUAGUAUAUUUUUUACAGAAAAUAAUCUUCCAAUAUGAGUUUCAUAUGCUUAUACAGUAGAUAAAAUCAAAUUAAUUCAAC